AACGGCAACAAAGAAAAAGACCUAGAAACUUGCCCUUGCAGGGGCAAGUAUUUUUGCCUUUUACCAGAUUUUCAGUUAGAAGAUUAUAUAUGCUAUUCCACUGGAAGUCGGAGAUGUUGAUCAUGUCAAUGAAAUCUCACAGCUUCUGUGUGUUGCCGAGCAUGAUCUUAGAUAUCAUCAGCAAAGAACACAAGCUCCUCCCAAAAAGAGUUUAUUACAGAAAAUGCUGACCAGGAUUAUAUCCCCAUAUGUAUCUCUUGGAAGGAUGGUAGAAGCAUUUGCAGAUGUGGAUGGACUGCAGGCAGCAGAUACCAGGAUCCUACCAAGAAUGUCAUCAUAUUCUAAACUCUGAAUCUUCACAGCCUCCUGGAAGUCACUUUUCAAUCUUUCCUGUCUGAGCUCAAAAAUAACUAGUGAUGGAAGCUUGGGGAAAAUCACUUUAGAAAGGUAUUGGCAAAUGAGAAAAAAAUAUGUUGUUUUGUAUUAAGAAGAAGAACAUCUUACAUCUUUCCAGCCAGUUUUCCCUGGUGGUGGUUGAUAACAGCCACAGGAGUUAUGAAGCAAACCAAAACAGUGCUUUGCAACGCUUAAAUGCAGUACUUUGCCCAUAUCUGAAGAGCUUACUCACUGGCCAGCCACGCCCAAAGGAUGCCACAGCUCCAGCCUGCAGAUCAGCAUUGCUUCCCUUCUCAUCUCCUACUUCCCAAGUGGGUGUCUGCAGAGUGCCACAACAGCAUCGAUCUGUUUUGAUCACACCUAUGUUAAUCUGUUCUUCCAGCACCUUAGCAGGCGCCCAGCCUAUAGAAGCUAUUUCAAACUACUGCCACCGUGGGCUGUGGAAGCAUACAAAAAGUGCAAUAGGUCCAAGCACAAUGCAGUAGUAGGCAGGUGCUUACUAUGAGAUUAAUUGAUUCAAAGGGAAAAAGUGAGAGAUACAUAAUUCUUGUGUUUAAUAUUAAACUAGGCUGAGGAAGAGCAUGUGAAAAACACACAAGGAGAGCAUUGCAGCCUGCACAAGCCUGUAGAAGGGAAAAAUGGUGGAAAAACAUGGACAGUACCCCAAGACCAUAUAUCUGAAGAAACUGUAGAGAAUACUGGCAAGUAAAAGAAAAACAUGCUAGAAAACGUUUUGGUAUUUUAACUUGAUUGUCAGCAAGUGAUAUUUAGGUUACUUGAUACGUAGAAAUCAAAAUUUUUCCUUUUUUAACCAACCAUUUAUCCAGUUUAUGUCCCAGCAUGCUUAACUUCAGGCACUACUGGUAAACAAGAGUGUCAAUAAAAUAACUUAUCCUUGCAGUAGAGAUUUAAUUUUCUCCCUUUCUCUUUUCUCAGUGACCUGGAGCUCAUCCUUUAAACAUGCUUGGCUCCAAAAUACAAGACAAUUUAUUUUUCUGUCAAGAUAGUGAGGGAUUUAGAUAUGAAGUAAUAUACCCUUGUGCUUUACAGUUAAUACCAAUUUCCUGCUUUUUCUUGAUAUUUUGAUAUCUCUCCUGUCCAUGAUCAUCUGUGUAUGCAAGUUAGAAAAUAAAGUAGCAACAUAAAGACAAGGUUUAAUAGAACAAGAGCACAUUAGAUAGAGGAUGCCAGGCUCUGAAAUGUCUCCCUCUACAGAGUUGCUCUAUGGUUCUCACUGAACUGAUUAACAGAUUCUAGUGCAGUAGAUGAGGUUCCUUCCAAGUGAUACCAGACCCUCUCUUAUUUUUCCAGCCACUCUAUGUUUGUCUAUCUACAUGACAUUACUGUGUGUUUGUACACACAUUUAUUUUGCUGAACACAACUGAAAGGAGAAAUGUUACAUAGAAUUUUAGAUAACAGUGUAUAGGAGCAAGAACGUGAAGUGCUUUUGGAUGAAAGCAGUAGUAUACUAUUAUUCCAUUGUUAAUAGAAUAUUUGUAUUAGUUGGCCUUGAAACCAUACGGAAAAUUAUUGGUGAAAAAUCAAAAGUGAUUAAGGAAAAGCAUUUUUUGUUCCAGAAUAAAGUCAUCCAUAGUUCUUUAGUAGGUUUUGUUUGUGAAUGUGUAUAUGCAGUUUUAGAUGCAAAGGCAUUCAUGUUUCCCUUCAGUUUUAUGAGUACUUCAGUUUUCUAGUUUAACUUAUUGCUUUCCUUAAAUAUAACACAAUAAGAAGUAGAAGGUGACCUUGUUGUCUAAGUGGCUAGAAAGAUGGCUAAAAUUUGGCAGCAGUACCAUUUCUCUCCAAACCAAUCCCAAAUUCAAUUCAAAUUCUAUUUUUGGGGCACAAGUAAUAAUCUGUGAUAAUUGCAUUACAGUAAUUUAAACUACAGCUUCUUUAAUCUCAUAUACUUUAAAUGCAUCUGAGGAAGACAGUUUGAGCUACAAAUUUGUUUUCUAAUAUUGGAAGUAAUGUAUGUAAAUGGCAACUAAAUUAUAAAACUUAGCUUCAUAUUACUUUUAUAGCUAUGUAAUGCUCUCAGUUAGAUUGGUAUUACUUGAACUAUACUCAGAAUUUACAAAAUUGCCACUUAGCAUAUGAUUAGCGCUGUUAUUUGUUUGAGUCCUCAUAAUCAUAGAAACAUAUUUAGGUUUUUAUUUUGUCUGGCAAUGAAAAAAUAAGAGAACAAAUAUUAGGGAAAAGAGUGCAUUUGCAAUGAGAGCUUGCUAAUUUUUUAUCAGGUUAUUUUCCGCUCCAAAAGUUUGGCUAGAAGAUAGAUCUAGAGACUGGGGACAGGCUUACAUCUUAGUAGCAUUUGAAAUGCUACUCAGAGAACCAGGGAGAAUGUUUUGUUACCACUUCAGAGACUCCACCUUCUUAACAGGCAUCUCAUUCCAAACUGAAGCUAAGAGGAGAAUGUAGAAAAGAAAGAACCAUAUAAAAACUGAACAUCUUAUUUUUGUGUUUAAACAAACACAGAAUAUUAGGACAUGAUUAAGGGAAUUCCUACAAGGGCAGUAAUUUGACCUUUUUGGCUUCUGCUAGAUUGGAUGCGGUCAGGUAGGAUUUGAAGUAGAACAGCAAAAGUCCAUGAAAGGUCUCCAAGGAGAGAUUGAGUCCAACACAUUCUUCAUUCUCAGUCAGACACUGGUUAUCUUUUAAUGGAUGUGAUUAUUUUGUCAGCCAGGAAAUCCUACAUAACAAUAAUGUCAUAGCAGAGCAGAUCUGUUGGAUUUGCGUUUCAAGGAAUUGAUAAAAGUAAUUAUUUUCCUUGAUUAGUUUCCCUACCCAGAGGGUUGGUUGGUCUCAGUUUUUAGCAAAUGUCAUUCUGAUAUGUUUGUGUCUCCUCACAUUUGAGCAACUGGAACACUGAUAUGGGGAUACAGUGAACACAUAGUUGUUUAUUUCAGUAGAGCUAAACAGUGCUUGUAAUAUUUUUUGCUGGGUAGUUACUGGUCCUCCUCAGGGCAUUUGGAGU